GAUGAGAACGCAGCGAAAUGCGAUAAGUAAUGUGAAUUGCAGAAUUCAGUGAAUCAUCGAAUCUUUGAACGCACAUUGCGCCCGCCAGUAUUCUGGCGGGCAUGCCUGUUCGAGCGUCAUUUCAACCAUCAAGCCCCAGGCUUGUGUUGGGGACCUGCGGCUGCCGCAGGCCCUGAAAACCAGUGGCGGGCUCGCUGUCACACCGGGCGUAGUAGAUUUUAUCUCGCUCAGGGCGUGCUGCGGGUUCCGGCCGUUAAAAAGCCUUUUUUACCCAAGGUUGACCUCGGAUCAGGUAGGAAUACCCGCUGAACUUAAGCAUAUCAAUAAGCGGAGGA
rnacentral:misc_RNA from 1 species